rnacentral:tRNA from 2 species
AGGGGUUUAGCUCAGCUGGUAGAGCGGCGGUCUCCAAAACCGUAGGCCGAGGGUUCGAUCCCUUCAACCCCUGCCA